CGCAUGAGGAAUUGAUUUUCUUAAUUUCCAAACCAUAGCCGUCUUUUACAAUAAAACAACCGAACUCAUGGCAUUGAGGAGUGAUAGAGUUAGGAAUUUACAUCAAGAAUCAGAAAUGAAGAAUAAGCAAAAUUUCUUUGUUCCAAUAGCUGUACAAUAAUUAAAUCAAGGAAUUUCAGAUUCGUUCAAUAAUAAGAAAAAAAAUAAAAAUAGACUCAGCUAGAAAUAUGAAUAAAACCAGAAUGCUAAUUACUGUCAACGAUCCCCGUUAAUAGACUGUUUCUGUUCUUAUCAUCAGGAGAUAGACCGCUAAAAAAAAAGGUUUUGCAACC
rnacentral:misc_RNA from 1 species